rnacentral:sRNA from 1 species
UUAAUAAAUACACAUCAGCAAUAUAGAACGAGGGCAGACCUCGCAACCUUAAAUAAUUAAAAGUCUGGUGUCCCCUAUGAUGAAUAACAUGACAACCGUAAAAUACUGGUCAUGGCUCGGCGUAUUCUCAGCGUCGAUCCUCUUCUGGUGUCAACUCCUCUGGCUGGCCCUGCACUAAAUCGUAAAAACCUCGCCACGGCGGGGGUUUUUUUGUUU